UGGCUCAGGAUGAACGCUAGCUACAGGCUUAACACAUGCAAGUCGAACGGGGAACGGAUUCGUCCGUUCCCAGUGGCAAACGGGUGAGUAACACGUAUCCAACCACCCCGCGACACGGGGAUAGCCUUCUGAAAGGGAGAUUAAUACCCGGUACACUGUUUAUAGCGCAUGCUAUUUUCAGUAAAGUUCCGGCGGUCGCGGACGGGGAUGCGCUCCAUUAGAUAGUCGGCGGGGUAACGGCCCACCGAGUCUAUGAUGGAUAGGGGUUCUGAGAGGAAGGUCCCCCACAUUGGAACUGCGACACGGUCCAAACUCCUACGGGAGGCAGCAGUGAGGAAUAUUGGUCAAUGGGCGAAGGCCUGAACCAGCCAAGUAGCGUGAAGGAUGACAGCCCUAUGGGUUGUAAACUUCUUUUGGUCGGGAAUAACAGACACCACUUGUGGUGUUUUGCAUGUACCGGCCGAAUAAGGAUCGGCUAACUCCGUGCCAGCAGCCGCGGUAAUACGGAGGAUCCGAGCGUUAUCCGGAUUUAUUGGGUUUAAAGGGAGCGUAGGCGGGAAGUCAAGUCAGCUGUGAAAUGCGCACGCUCAACGUACGCCUUGCAGUUGAAACUGGUUUUCUUGAGUGCGUAAGAGGCAGGCGGAAUUCGUGGUGUAGCGGUGAAAUGCUUAGAUAUCACACAGAACACCGAUUGCGUAGGCAGCUUACUGGAGCGCAACUGACGCUGAGGCACGAAAGCGUGGGGAUCGAACAGGAUUAGAUACCCUGGUAGUCCACGCUGUAAACGAUGAUCACUAGCUAUCGGCGAUAUACAGUCGGUGGCACAGCGAAAGCGUUAAGUGAUCCACCUGGGGAGUACGCCGGCAACGGUGAAACUCAAAGGAAUUGACGGGGGCCCGCACAAGCGGAGGAACAUGUGGUUUAAUUCGAUGAUACGCGAGGAACCUUACCCGGGCUUGAAAUGCAGAGGAAUAACGGUGAAAGUCGUUAGCCAGCAAUGGUCUCUGUGUAGGUGCUGCAUGGUUGUCGUCAGCUCGUGCCGUGAGGUGUCGGCUUAAGUGCCAUAACGAGCGCAACCCUUACCAUUAGUUACUAACGGGUUAUGCCGAGGACUCUAAUGGGACUGCCACCGUAAGGUGUGAGGAAGGUGGGGAUGACGUCAAAUCAGCACGGCCCUUACGUCCGGGGCGACACACGUGUUACAAUGGGCGGCACAGAGGGCAGCGACUCCGCGAGGGGAAGCAAAUCUCAAAAAGCCGUUCUCAGUUCGGAUUGGAGUCUGCAACUCGACUCCAUGAAGCUGGAUUCGCUAGUAAUCGCGCAUCAGCCAUGGCGCGGUGAAUACGUUCCCGGGCCUUGUACUCACCGCCCGUCAAG
rnacentral:rRNA from 1 species